rnacentral:ncRNA from 2 species
AAAUUAAAUAUUAUUUCAAGUGUCCCCUUUGGUGUAUGGCCUUUGGGGAAGAAUAGGGAACCGUGUGCAAAUCACGGACGGUACCGCCGCUGUAAACGCUGAAGGGCGCGCUCGUCGACGAAAGUCGGUCACUGGGAAACUGGGAAGGCAGAGCACGUGCCGCAGGAGGAAUCUCCUAUAAGCGUCAGUCAGAAGACCUGCUCUGAAAUCGCCUUUGUU